AGCAGCUCGUCCUGCGUGCCGCCGGAUCCCAGCAACAGCAGAGCAGCAGAACUCCUCCCCGUGGGACGAGAGCCGAGCUGGCCGCUCAGCAGCGGGCGCCCUGGCAAUGCUCUGCUCCUCUUUGGGAUGCUGCAAGCGCAGAUGCACGACCUGGGAGCUGCAGAACUUGGAUCUGAUACAGCUGGAUUCUCCCUGAUCAGAAAUCACUGGUAAUAAUUCCCUGUGUUGUUUAUUAGUGCAAGAUGUGGUGUUUCUUUGGUAUCUCCAGUACUGACAGAGUCAGCAGCUCAUGGCAGUGCAGUGUCUUCCACAACCUUCCUCAGUGCACCUUAGUGACAGUUUCCAGUCAUGGAGAGAAGACUGAAGAGAAUCAGCCCUGACACGGAGCCCAGCGGAACCCCCCAUGACUGCCACCAGCACAGUGCCCCCCUGUCCCAGAUCCCGGAGCCCCGGUCUUCACCCCCAGCACUGUGUGCGUGUGUAGCUGUGUGCUGAACGUUUCAUCCUGACCAUUCUGCCAGCAAUGUGCUGCCUGUCCUGCUGCUGCCUCCGAGCUGCAGAGCGCCCACAUCACCUGCACACGCCAGCUGAGGCCCGAGGUCCCACAGACGCCUUUCCCGUAAGCGUGCUCCAUUCCAGCAGUGCACACAACACAUCUCGGAGCAAAGGCUGCUGGAGAACCUCAGCUCUCGCACCGAGGGCAGCUCCCCUUCCACAUCCCCGCCAUCCUCCAGAGCAGCCUGCAUGCCCACAGCCACGGGCACCAGCCCUCCACAUCCCAUCCCCGCAGGCACAGCCGGCACUGGGCCUCGUCCCCACUGCACCGUGUGUGCGACCACCUCCUGCCAGCACUGCUCAGCACCCCAGAACCCAGGGCACAGACGGAUGCUCCUCCACACAGCAAUGCUCAGUGUUUAUUGACAGCUCCUUCAGGCCCAUCACCACACACCCUGCCUCACAUCACCCCAUACAGACAGCAGGAACAGCACAGCAGAGGAGGUCCCUGUUC